UCUGCUUAAAUCCUGUAAAAAGUCCUCAAAAACCGCUGAAAAAUGUACUGCUCUUCUAGAACCUUUAAUGUCCUAUGACGAGUGUAGGAAAGCGUUGACAUCUGAAGAAGGAGGGAUACUUGCAAUAGUGGAAGUCCUUGAAAUCGGAUCUUUACAAAGCCAAGAACAUGCAUUAGGAGCUCUGUUGACAAUGUGUCAAAGUGAUCGAUGUAAAUACCGGGAACUAAUUCUCAGAGAAGGUGUAGUUCCUGGACUUCUUGAGCUGACUGUUAAAGGGACAGCUAAGUCUAAAGAGAAAGCGCAAACACUUUUAAGGUUACUGAGAGAUGCUCCUUACGAAAGGUCUCAGCUUCAACCCGAUACAUUGGAGAACAUUGUUUCUAAUCUUAUAUCUCAGAUAGAUGGCAAGGAGCAAACUGGAAAAGCGCGGGGGUUGCUUGCUGAAGUGAUACAAGUUAGUAUGGAUCAAAGUUUGAGACGUUUACACCAAAGGCCAAUGGUAUGUACUCCAGUUGAUUUGUCUAUAGCCGGUGGUGCCUCUACGAUCUCUUCAACAUGAUACUGUUUCUCAUCUCUGAUAUCAUUUAAUCUUUCUUCCUGCAACCAUGUUCCUGUGUUGAAAUCAGUUUUUUCGUGCUCGGAAAAUUAGAUAUACUAGACAGUGCCAGUUCAGUUAUGGAACUGAGACAGGCUUAAAUGGAG
rnacentral:misc_RNA from 1 species